CCUGCUCCGGGUGAUGCACACACCUGGGACUGAGUUUGAAUUGCCUCAAUAAUAGGUAAUGGGAAAUGCAGGAAACAAUUGCUUUCUUCUGAUACCUCCCCUUCUUUAUGCCCUCCCGGCCCAAAGAGAAAGCAGCAAAGGCUUGAUGAGAAAAACAUAGACUGUGCCAACAGAGCCCGGAGGAGCAGCAGAUUAGAACAGAGGAAAGAGACUUUCUGAGCACGUCUGUGGUUUUCUGUGGGGAUGUCCUCAGUGGUGAGAUGACAUUCUUGCUCGUGAAGAUGAAGGACAAGAAAUGCUUUGGAUUGAGGUCCUAUACUAAUCCACAGCCAUCACACGCCCACCAUAUUGUUCUGCUGGACCUGGACCCAGAGGUAACUCACUGAGAAUUAUGGCUGUGUCCUGGGGUUAAGCUGGGUACGUGGUGAUGCACUGUGGCCAUUUUGCAGACUGCUCUGGCUUCUGGAGCUGAGAUUGAUAAAAAAAAAAGAACAGGUUUUGUGGCUGGUCUGCCUGGGAGAAGACACAGUGGCCAUGGACUGGGAAAUGCCGUUCACUGAGGCCCUGCAGGAGAGAUGUCUUCCUGCUGCUUUUGUAGGAGCUCGGGAGGCAAGAUUUGGUGAUCUUCCUCUGACAGCUGAGCACUAGUCACUGCUGCCAAGUGCUCACAGGA
rnacentral:lncRNA from 1 species